GCCCCUACUGGAAAACAAUAAACACUGCAAUGAAUUGAAAAUGGCGAUUUUAGAAAGCUGGGUGCAUUUCGUUUUCAGUCACUAUUCAAGGUGUUUCAAAGUAACAUAUGAUAGUGUAAAUUUUAAGUGAACGUGAAAUAAAAGUUGUGUCAGUUAUUUAAAAAUUAGUGAAUUAAAAGUAAAUAAAAUGGAAAAAGAGAUUGAUUUAAAAACGGGCGAUAAAGUAUUUCAAGAUGACGUCGCUCAACAGAAUGAACAGAGAACUGCGUACGCAUGCGAUAUGACAAUGAAAACAAUCGAAGGGGAGCUUCCGCCAAAAAAACGGAAAACGCGACGCGGGAAAUCCAAACGGAGACAUCCUUAUUUAAAAAAUCAAAGAAAAUCGAAUAAAUUAGUAAAACCAGAAGCCCCACAUAACAGCAAUCAAUUUUUACUCGAAGAUCAUGCUUUAAUGGAAGGAUUGGAUAAAAAUUUGAUGUCCCCAAAUGCUUUAAGAACAAGAGAUUCAAGUUUCAGUGUUGAUUCAGAAGGAGAAUUUUAUUCUUCGCCAGAUGAUGGCCAACAGUUUUUAAUCAAAGACUUUGAUGACCAAUAUGAAAGUGUUCAAGCUGAAAGACUUCAGAGUAUGUCAAAAUCAGAAUUAAUAGAGGAAUAUCUGGCACUCGAAGAUAAGCUUGAAAAAUUAAUAAAAGGUCAACAGAAAGAAGAAGAUGAUUCGGAGGAUUCUCGAUCUGAUCUCAAGCAAGAAGUGGAACGUCUCACCUUGGAAAACGAGCGAUUGAGGCGGGAGAAUGAUAUACUACGAAGUAAAGUAAAUGAUGCAUCUGACUCCGAGGACUCUGAAACUGAUUCUAGCGAUUCUUGCAGUAGUUCAUCAAGUUCAAGUAACAGUUCUCAAAAUUCAAGCAGAUCUAGAAGUCCCAUCACCAAUGGUGAUUAUAGUAAAACAAAUGGAUUCUCUAAGAAAGAGUCAGUUAUGUAGAUUUCAUAGAACAUUAUCUUGCUCAGAUAAAAAAAACACCAAGUAGACAGGCUUUCUAUAUGUAAUUCUAUCAAGUACUUAUACGUAAAAUAACUAGUUAACAUAUUUAAACACUUGAAAAAAAAACAUGAACACUCUGUUAACUGGUUAUUGUUUUGUAAAAGAAAAUACGGUUAUUUUGAUAUUUGAAAAUGGAUAACAGUUGAAAACCUGUAGAUAUUUAGUAUAUAAGGUGGUCACAAAGUGACUGUGAUAAAAAUUUGUUGAAUAUUAUUGGUAAGAAAAUGUUGGUGGAAUUUUGGAAAAAUUUAUAUCACUUUUUUGCAUAGAAACAAUAUAUUAUUUUUUUUUAUUCUACAUUAAUGGUCAUAUUAGGAUUGGUGAAAAGAUUUUCUACUUAUUAAUCUUACUUGCAGAGUUCUUAUAUAAUAAUUACAGAUAUAUAAUAAUGACUAUAUGUCCUACAACCUAGAUAGAUUGUAUGUAGCGGGGGAAAUGUUAUGCUGUAUCCUCCCCAUCAAAGUUGCUCUGCUCACUGGAUCAUCUACAGGUCACCUUCUAGUUUAAAUAUUCUAAUAAACUCUAAGAUCAUUUCAAGGAGGUUAGAUCUUUGCUCCUAUAAGUAUUUCGUCAUCAAUAAAUCUAUGUAUGCCACCCAGUUUUUUGUUGCUUCAAAUAGAGAUCUUUUGAUAAAGAUGCUAUGUAAUUAUUAUGUUGUUUAGGGUUUAGGGAGGAUUUAAUUUUAUUUAUUACCUUUCUUUCAGUUUUCAAGCCAUUCUGAAUAUAAAAGAAGUCUUAGGUUUACGGAUGCUAUAAUGGGACCAUUGAUCGUAUCUAAAAUAAUUGUAUUGUAUAUGAGUGUACCUGUAAUGGUGCUAUUUGUUUACAGAAAAUCUACUGUUAAUAUUAGGUGUUUGAAAAAUGGAGAACCCUAGAAGCCAUAUGUAUUUCUGACAUAAACAAAGCCUUAAAAUCUGUAUGCAAAAAUAGCCCUAUUUUAGAAAUAUUAUUUAGCAGAAAAUAAAAUUUGGAAUAUAAAUUAAAAAUAAAACAACACUGUUAUAAAUUUAUAGUUAAUAUAAACACAGUUAUAUAUAUUAUACAACGAAAAAACAAUAUGUAUAAAUUGGGACAAAAAAAAUCAAUAGAAACAUAAUAUCAUGCGUGUAAUUGCAUAUGUAGUUGUAUUUCAAAAAGGCCACUUUUUAGGAGACUCCUUUUGUUACUUUUUCAUUAUCAUUCCUCGUGAAUGAGGCUGGAGGUUUGAUUUGUCAUGAAAUAUCAUGUUACAUAAUAUUAAUAGCUUUAAUUUAACAGAUUUGUGUUUUUUAAGCACAUACAACUUUUUGUACCCCCGGAGGUCUACGGACCACAGGUUGGAAAACACUGGAUUAGAUUAUCGUUGUCCGAAAACCUUCUUUGUAAUUCAGCAAUUAGUGCGUCCAACGUUUCGAAAUACUCAGGACUUAAAUGGCUCGUCGUUCUCUUCUAUGUGCCACGCGACAUGAACGCGUGCGAAUAACGUGAUGCCUCAUAUCAAUGUUAUUUAAAUGGAAUUAAAAAGAGUGCGGUCCAACGACUACAUUGCUAGUUGCGGGUUGUAUGUAGCUACCUUUUUAGGGAAUUUAUAGCCUUGUAAAUUAGGGAUAAUAAAAAUAUGACGAAAUAUGUGGAAAACGUUUAUUAUUACAGGUCGGAAGCUGAUAUAAACUUAUUACUAAAUAAAUAUUUUUGUUUUGUCAAAAUGUUUGUAACCACACUGAAGCCUUUAUCAACGAGGUAAGUUGAUGGAAAAGCGAUAAGGUAUUUUUCAGCAAUGUUCCACAAUGCAGGAUACUGUUGUUUACUGUUGUGUUGUUUAAUGUUGCGUUGCAACCAGAAAUUCUGAUAGCCUUGGUUGAACUUCUUAAGCUCCUCGUCUGUGCUGAUGGUAAUCAACUCUUCUUGUAUUAUCAUAUUGGUUUCUUCCAUGGCUGUGAUAUUGUAUGGAUUUAUUAUCCAUUGAGUAAUUUGUAAAUUUAAGAGAUCCUCAAACCUCUUAGUAAAAUCCUUGUGUAAUGCGUCUAAGUGAGUGACAUAUGAUAAAAACAUCUUCUUGAAGCAUUUCUGGUAAUUUUGACAAAUGCCGGAACUGUAAAUAUUCUUUUCUGCUUAAAUUAUUUACAAUUGUUCAGAUUUUUUUUUCAAAUUCGGAUCUUUUUCUUGUAAAAACUCUAACACAGAUUCAAAAAUGGCUGAAAAUUGGUUCUCUUAGACUCUAAGGGAACCAAUUUUUUUUGUAACCCCGAGGCUUGGCGUCUUAAAUAAUUUGAGUUUUAUAGUUUAUAGUUUUACAGGGCUUAUAAAUAUCUGACUCCAUCCUUUUGUGGUUGUUAUUUUUUCAAACUUUAUUUGGACACAUUUUUUAGUGAUAUAGUUUUUCAUCAUUUCCACUUAAUAUGAAAAUAAAAUUAUUAGAAUUAAUUACUUAAUUGUAAAAGAAAAUAUGUUGAAUAUUUUCUCAAAUAUAACGAAAGACUGAUUUAAAUUAAAAUUGUAUAUAAAGCGAGGUAUUAGAAUUACAUGUAAAAGGCCUGGAUAAUAUUUGUUAAUUUUUCGAACCAAAUGCUUUACAGUUAGUAUAUUGAUUACCACUUACAGCAAUUUACUGCAAGAUACGUUUUCAAUGAAAGCUGGACCAAAUACCAACAGAGUUUCUGAAUAUCAGAUAAAAACCUAUACUAAAAAAAUAAAAACGUAGCCAGUUGUAUAUCAAUAGUUUAAUCGCUUCUUUUUGACAAAAAUAACUUAUGGCAGGACUUUAUUUCUUUUUUGGUACAUAUCAAAGUCACUUAUAUAUCCGAAUUGUUGACAUCCUCCUUUACAAAAAUAUUGUGGUAAUCAUUUUUACUUCACUUAUUGUUAUUGGUCAACCCUGUUGAUUAAUAACUGCAUAUACCUCAAGUUAUAUAUGUGUCAUCUGCUUGUAAAAAUGGUCAUCUCCAUAACAGAAAUUUUUUACAGGAGAGCUGAUUUUUGGUCACACCUAGGAAAAUGUAGGUGCAUCCAAAUCUCUUUUUGCCUUCCACCUGGCACUUAGGCCCUGGCAACAUCACCAGGCGCCAGCCCUAUUCUGGACGGCAGACAUUUUUUGUUCUAUUUUCCUUCUCAAUUCACUCUUAAUGAUGUUUUGAUUCGCUAUUACUAAGACUGUUCAUUUAUAGGUGGAACAAAGUCUUUGCCAGCUAUAUUAUGAGCGCUGUCAAAGUGUACUAACUCUAAUAUAGAAACAAAUAAACGAUCAAGAAAAGCGAGUGAAAGUCGCAAUACAUUCUGGCAAGUGGAGUGGGAAUCCAAUGUUUAUUAUGAUUUAUCACUAUAUUUGAUGGAAGUUUACACUGGUAGUUUGGAAGUGAGUUUGUUAAAGAUAUGUUUAUCAAAGUAUUUUCCAAAAGUUUUUAUUACAUUCAUUGAUUAUACCAAAUAGGGGAGACUGGGUCUUUUUAAUUUUUGUCCAUUCAUGUAGCAAAUUCGCAAAUUAAAUUUUUUAAAAAGUUGUGGAUGUUGUGUAUGGAGCACAGUUUAAGAAACGCUGGCUUAGAGGUUAUGUUCAAAACAAAUAACAACACCGCGUAAUUACUUACCAAUAAUCGCAAGAUGUAACUAAAAACACCACUUAUCCACAAUUAUUUGCCGUUAGCAAAAAAUCUCAGAAAUAUUUACUUAAAUGACUCGAAAACAAUUUUUUCGUAUUACAGCCACAAAGCACAGCCGAUUUACUGCAGACUAGAAUACAGCUAUGAAGAGUAAAUAGACUUGCCAAUUAAGAUCAUAUGGAUUGAUAGAUGGAGACACAGGUUUUAAAUUUAAAUCGUUUCAAGGUACACUAUGACCAAGGUACAACAGUCUCCCCUAUACAUUGACGUGAAUUAAAUACAUCUUAUGUCACAAAAAACGAAUGAAUUACCUCAAAUUCAGACCUAAUUCAAGUAUUUGUCCUGGUCCAGCCUUAUUCAAUUCAUAUAUUCCCAAAUUUCAUAACUAAAAAUUUGAUUUAUACAUUAUUAAGAAUUAUAACUUUGGUUACACUGGUUUGUAUCCAUUUUGUAUUUAGUUUAAACAUCAAAAUUAUUAUCUUUUUGCAUUUAUAUAAUUUAUAAUUUUCUUAGAGACCUGAGCAUCACAUUGUAGCCCUCGAUUUUUUUUAUUCGUAAAUUAAGUUAUGAAUGGACUCAUUUUUUGUUAUUGUACUUUCAUCAACUUCUUUGUAGUUGUACAUUUAAAUAUCCAGUUUGAUGUUUCCCCCUUUUCUGCAAACAACAAGAAAACAAAUAUGAAUAAAAUCAGAUUUAUCAAUUGGAAAAUUGAAAAUGUUUUUCUAAUGUGCGUUUUCAGAAGUUGAUGAAAAUACAUCUAUCGAAUCUUUUAUAUAAGUUCUAAAGAUUAUAGGCCUUUGCCAGAUUUAUUUAUUUCCUUUGUGAAUUAAUUUAAUUUUUUAUAAUAACGUUUUGUAGAUAUUUGAAUAGAGUUAUGUGAGUUGUUGAUAAGUUCUAAUAAUAAAUAUUGAUAGUUUUAAUUAUUGUUUAGUACCUUUCGAUAUUGACGAAGAAGAAGAGGAAGAUUAUAUUUUACCUACAGUGCAAAAGUAAACAUGAAACAUUUGUUAUUCUCUCUCUCUCUCUUAUAUUCUUAAAAAGUUAUAAAAUAAAAAACAUAAAGAGACGGCAACAACAACAAAAUGCGAGGAGUGCCCGGAGGAGGAAAAGAAACAGAAAAAGAAAGAAAAACAAAAAAA